rnacentral:misc_RNA from 1 species
AACACUGUUAACCUGCGGUACCUGCGGAGGGAUCAUUACUGAGUCACGUGCUCAAACAACCCUUCUGCGGACCUGAAAUAAAACCGUUGCCUCGGCGGGCGGUCCCCCCCAAGCCAACCCCACGUGGUGGGUUAGGGGAGACCAGACAGUCCGGUACGCUUAAGGCGUCCGGCGCCAGCCGCUGGCCCCAAACAAUUAAACUCUAGUAACCUUUACCUUCUGAGUUUCAAUAUUUAAAAA